rnacentral:lncRNA from 1 species
CCAAGCUCUCUCUCGUUUCCGGUGCUGGGACAGGUGGCUGCGGGCCCCGUGUGGGGGCCAGCGGGCCCGGCCCAGGCCCUUCUUGGGCCAGGCCGGGCAGGGCCACGGCCAUCCUGGAGCCGACGGCCUCCCUGUUCCAUCCGUGGCCCCCCCCACAGCCCUGCUGUGGGCAGCUGGAGCGGCUCGGCUCCCCCCCUCUCCACUUCGAUAAGCCACAUUCCAGCCACAAGGCUGAGGUGAGAUUAACCCUUUUACUGCUGUGAAGAGCUGAAAACCUGAGGGAGAAGAAAGAGGAGAUGCUUAAAGCUGAAAUUCUGUUGUGAAGCUAUGAUAUAUCAGAGUAUCUCAUUGUAAUUUCAUGAAGAUAUGGGGGCUGGAGUGUUCAACUCGUAAGCAAAAGCACCUGCGCUGAGAUAGGCAGAUGCUGACGCAGCUGUAAUUUCAUGAGAAGUUUGGACAGGAAGAGAUGGAAGCGAUGAGGACUUUUGCUCCAAAUGGGAAAGGAGAAAACCUCAGUUCCUAGAGAUGCUCCCAGAGAUAGUCCUAAAGAUGAAGAUGAUGAAGACCCUCUGCUCCCAGGGAAGGAGAAGGGCCUCUGUUCUUAGAGAUGAAUACUCCCAGAGAUGGUGAAGAAAACCUUUGUUUCUGAAUGGCUCAACCUUAAAAUUGUACCCCAAAAACUUCAAGAGUGGACCCUCGAAAGCAGUUGCGGGAAAAGCUGCAAGUCGGGGGAAGGGACUCGCAGGCAGAGAGACUCCUCUUCCUAAAUGGACUGAACAAUAUUUGGAAGUGGGCGGCUGUCUUGUUGUGAUAAUGUUUUCAUAGCAUGAGCAAGAAGAGACUUCUCUUUCUAAAUGGACUGAACAAGGUUAUUAUGGAAGUGGUAACAGACUGAACAUCUUAAGGGUUGUCUUUUUACAUUGUCAGUGGGAGAAGGGAGGAAGGUGGGAGGAGGAGGAGAGUUCUGAAGGUGGUAUAAUUUUUUUUUUCCCCUCUUUUAGGUCUGUUAAUAAACUUCUUUAUAUUCUUUCAAGUUUGGUGCCUGCUUUGCAUUUCUCCUAAUUCUUAUCUCACAGAAGAUAAAUAGUAAUGAGUAUUUUAGACCAAACCACUACACUAAAUUGGUGUUUCCGCCUG